CCUCCACUGCUGCCUCACAGGCGGGCGGGCGCGGAUCGCGGCCUGGGCGGCGCAGGCCUGAGGGGCCGCAGACCGGGGCGCAAGAACCUGAACGGUGCCCCGUGACUCGGCUUCCCAGUAGGCGGCGAGCGUGGUACUGCAACAGGGGUGCGGCGACUUGGAGAAGCUUCGUGGAAGGGAAGCAGAGACAGGUGGUUGAGGGGCAAGGACCGGCGCAGUGCAUUCGAGACGUAGAAGCUUGCUCCUUCUAGCUCUUCAGAGGAUCGGAGAUUUGGCUCAAGCACUCUUUCCCUGCCUGGAGACUUAUUGGGGAUGUAAAAUGAGAGAAUAGCAGGUGACCAGCAAAUUAGGGGAGGAUUAAAUACUUCCAAGUUGUCACAGCAAGAAGAAAGAGGAAUAUCUCAGGAGUUUGACCUCAAGCCUACAAAGUGGUGGUAUUCUACCAAGAUGUCUGUAUGCUUCAUGAUGCUGUUGAGUCCUGUGGGAGGAGAAUCUGAGCACCCUGAUGCCCCUUAUCCCCAAUACUGCACUGUGGAGCUGAGAGUGACAACAGCCAGUGAGU
rnacentral:lncRNA from 1 species